GAGUAAUGCUUGGGAACAUGCCUUGAGGUGGGGGACAACAGUUGGAAACGACUGCUAAUACCGCAUAAUGUCUACGGACCAAAGGGGGCUUCGGCUCUCGCCUUUAGAUUGGCCCAAGUGGGAUUAGCUAGUUGGUGAGGUAAUGGCUCACCAAGGCGACGAUCCCUAGCUGGUUUGAGAGGAUGAUCAGCCACACUGGGACUGAGACACGGCCCAGACUCCUACGGGAGGCAGCAGUGGGGAAUAUUGCACAAUGGGCGCAAGCCUGAUGCAGCCAUGCCGCGUGUGUGAAGAAGGCCUUCGGGUUGUAAAGCACUUUCAGUCAGGAGGAAAGGUUAGUGGUUAAUACCCGUUAGGUGUGACGUUACUGACAGAAGAAGCACCGGCUAACUCCGUGCCAGCAGCCGCGGUAAUACGGAGGGUGCGAGCGUUAAUCGGAAUUACUGGGCGUAAAGCGUACGCAGGCGGUUUGUUAAGCGAGAUGUGAAAGCCCCGGGCUCAACCUGGGAACUGCAUUUCGAACUGGCAAACUAGAGUGUGAUAGAGGGUGGUAGAAUUUCAGGUGUAGCGGUGAAAUGCGUAGAGAUCUGAAGGAAUACCGAUGGCGAAGGCAGCCACCUGGGUCAACACUGACGCUCAUGUACGAAAGCGUGGGGAGCAAACGGGAUUAGAUACCCCGGUAGUCCACGCCGUAAACGAUGUCUACUAGAAGCUCGGAGCCUCGGUUCUGUUUUUCAAAGCUAACGCAUUAAGUAGACCGCCUGGGGAGUACGGCCGCAAGGUUAAAACUCAAAUGAAUUGACGGGGGCCCGCACAAGCGGUGGAGCAUGUGGUUUAAUUCGAUGCAACGCGAAGAACCUUACCUACACUUGACAUACAGAGAACUUACCAGAGAUGGUUUGGUGCCUUCGGGAACUCUGAUACAGGUG
rnacentral:rRNA from 1 species